UUGGGAUAGCUCAGUUGGUAGAGCAUGAGACUCAAUCUCAGGGUUGUGGGUCUGGGCCCCACAUUGGGCAAAA